AGCGAACGCUGGCGGCAGGCCUAACACAUGCAAGUCGAACGGACCCUUCGGGGUUAGUGGCGGACGGGUGAGUAACACGUAGGAAUCUGCCCUUAAGUGGGGGAUAACCAGGGGAAACCCUGACUAAUACCGCAUGAUCUCUUCGGAGCAAAGAGGGGGACCGCAAGGCCUCUCGCUUCUGGAUGAGCCUACGUCUGAUUAGCUAGUUGGUAGGGUAAAGGCCUACCAAGGCGACGAUCAGUAACUGGUCUGAGAGGAUGAUCAGUCACACCGGAACUGAGACACGGUCCGGACUCCUACGGGAGGCAGCAGUGGGGAAUAUUGGACAAUGGGCGCAAGCCUGAUCCAGCAAUGCCGCGUGUGUGAAGAAGGCCUUCGGGUUGUAAAGCACUUUAGCCUGGAAAGAAAAAACUUUGGUUAACACCCAAAGUCUUGACGGUACCAGGAGAAUAAGCACCGGCUAACUCUGUGCCAGCCGCCGCAGUAAGAC
rnacentral:rRNA from 1 species